AGAGACGCAUUCCUGAACGGUCUCUUUAGCAUCUUUGGAGAUUUUAGCGUUUGCAGGGAGUGCCUUUUUCAUGAUCCUGCUAACGUUGGCUAUGGGCAAGAAACGGUCUUGUUCUCUUGGGGAAGAAAGUUCGUUAGCGUUGGAGGUGCUUGAUGGGUUAUGGGGUCCUCCAGAAUCAUUGUCUGAGUCUGCCAUGGUGAUAUGAUGAUAGUAAUAAUAAUCAAUGAGAACUUGCAGUUGCAGUAGAAGACUAGUACUCCGAUUCCCUUGUUUUAUCUUAGCAGGCGAUCGAAGAGCAGGGUCAUGAACAUUUGCUCCGUGAAGCGACGUAGAGGUAGAAGUAGAGGUAGAGGGAGAGUUGAGGGUAUUAAAAGGCUAAGCCGUAGCUUAAGGUGUUGUCUAUGGUGUUGAAGAGACACAGAUUUGAGAGCUUGGAAUUCAUGGAAAUUUAGAAAAGACUAAAGAGAAAGGAGGCAUUGAGUUGGGUCCGUCGGAUGGGAGGAGUGGGGUUUAAUAAGAGCUACGGCUGCUGAAACGUGGCUCGUUAUGGACCGUUGUUUGUCGAUAACCUUUUUGUAUCUCGCAUGUGCUCCCCAUCCUUUUCCCUCGCCUUGUACUAGUGGUUUUUUUGUAUUAUUAUUAAAAUAAUAAGCCUUUUU
rnacentral:misc_RNA from 1 species